rnacentral:rRNA from 1 species
UACGUAGGGUGCAAGCGUUGUCCGGAAUUAUUGGGCGUAAAGAGCUUGUAGGCGGUUUGUCGCGUCUGCUGUGAAAUUUCGGGGCUCAACCCCGAACUUGCAGUGGGUACGGGCAGACUAGAGUGUGGUAGGGGAGACUGGAAUUCCUGGUGUAGCGGUGAAAAUGCGCAGAUAUCAGGAGGAACACCGAUGGCGAAGGCAGGUCUCUGGGCCAUAACUGACGCUGAGAAGCGAAAGCGUGGGGAGCAAACAGG